rnacentral:rRNA from 1 species
AUUGAACGCUGGCGGCAGGCCUAACACAUGCAAGUCGAACGAGUGGCGGACGGGUGAGUACUGUCUGGGAAACUGUCCGAUGGAAGGGGAUAACUACUGGAAACGGUAGCUAAUACCGCAUACCAUCGGAUGUGCCCAGAUGGGAGUAGCUAGUAGGUGGGGUAACGGCUCACCUAGGCGGCGAUCCCUAGCUGGUCUGAGCGGAUGACCAGCCAACCUGGAAGUGGUACACGGUCCAGACUCCUACGGGAGUCAGCAGUGGGGAAUAUUGAACAAUGGGCGCAAGCCUGAUGCAGCCAUGCCGCGUGUAUGAAGAAGGCCUUCGGGUUGUAAAGUACUUUCAGCGAGGAGGCGUUACUCGCAGAAGAAGCACCGGCUAACUCCGUGCCAGCCGCCGCGGUAAUUC